rnacentral:lncRNA from 1 species
AUGGCCGCACUGGAACCAUAUGCCGAUUUAAUUGAAGACUUAUUUAAAACUGGCAAGACACAUGUCGAGAUUUCUACUACACUGCAGCAGAUGGGUAUCCAGCAGUGUUCUGAAAUGAGUGUAAGAAGAUUCUGUGUUCAGCAUGACCUUAAGCGAAAAAGACAUGUAUCGGACACAGAACUAGAGAGGGCUGUGGUUGGAUCAAUAUAUGAAACGGGCCCAUCUUAUGGCCGCAAGUUCAUGACUGGCUAUCUGUCUUCAAUGGGAGUGCGUGCAGGAGAAUGUCGAGUUGGGAAAAUCCUCAGAGAGAUUCAUCAGCCAUACCACGAAUUCCGACACCAGGGUGCUCGUAAUCUAAAUCCCAUCCCGUAUCAUGCUGAAUAUAUGGGCCAUAAAAUUCACCUGGACCAAAACGAGAAGCUUGUGAUGUUUGGAGUGACACACGUCGUGGCAGUUGAUGGCUACAGCAGCAAAAUUGUUGCCAAUGCCACCAUGCCAGUGAAAAACAACCUUGUGAUUUAUGAGGAAGUUUACAGAUCUGCAGUGGUUAACCAUGGCAUGUGGGACCAACUCAGGGUUGACCAUGGCAGGGAGUUUUACAUGUGCUUGUACAUGCAAGAGAUGCUAUCAAGACAUAGACACAACCCUAGCAGGCCACCAUACCUUCAAACAACAUCAACAAGGAAUCUUCGAGUGGAAAGGAUUUGGCCCGAGGUGAACAAUCGUGUGAACUACCCAUUGAAACAGGCCCUGGUACACCUGCUGGACCAAGAAGUCCUCAACAUGGAGGACAAUAUGACUAAAUUCUGCAUUUCAAACCUGACAUGUCAAUUAAGCCAAAUUGGACUAGGCAGAGUGGUACAAUCGUGGAAUGCACACAGGAUCCCAGGCCGUGGGAUACCCAAUGAACUCGCUGCAGGUGGCUGUCCAGCUAAAAUCUCCGAAGAGCUGCUGCCCAAUGCCUCUGUUGUGGCUAACAUGUAUGAGCAAGAGUUUGGAUCCUCGCUGACUUGGGUGUCAGUUUUUGGAACUGACCCAUUUUCAUCUGAGGAGGAUAGAUGUCAUGCAGAACAAGACUUUGCAGAGAACUACCCUGACAUCUCUCUUCUUUUUAAUCAUGUGGUAAACAAUGACUAUACACCUUUCCAAGAUGCCUUGUUGUGUCUCAUAAAUGUCACCCAAAGAUAUGUGAACUGA